ensembl:piRNA 21ur-5047 ncRNA
UCAGUUCUUCUUCGUGUAAAC